rnacentral:rRNA from 1 species
CACGUAGGGGGGCAAGCGUUGUCCGGAUUUAUUGGGCGUAAAGAGCUCGUAGGCGGUUCGGUAAGUCGGGUGUGAAACCUCCAGCUCAACCUGGAGACGCCACUCGAUACUGCCAUGGCUAGAGUCCGGUAGGGGACCACGGAAUUCCUGGUGUAGCGGUGAAAUGCGCAGAUAUCAGGAGGAACACCGGUGGCGAAGGCGAUGGUCUGGGCCGGCACUGACGCUGAGGAGCGAAAGCGUGGGUAGCAAACAGG